UACGGAGGGGGCUAGCGUUGUUCGGAAUUACUGGGCGUAAAGCGCACGUAGGCGGAUUGUUAAGUCGGGGGUGAAAUCCCGGGGCUCAACCCCGGAACGGCCCUCGAUACUGGCAGUCUCGAGGACGGUAGAGGCUAGUGGAAUGGCGAGUGUAGAGGUGAAAUUCGUAGAUAUUCGCCGGAACACCAGUGGCGAAGGCGACUGGCUGGACCGUUACUGACGCUGAGGUGCGAAAGCGUGGGGAGCAAACAGG
rnacentral:rRNA from 1 species